GUCGAUGUCCUCGUAGCUUGUCAAUAAAUUCACCGCCUCAUUCAAAUCAUUCUUCGCCACAGAAAGUGCUUUCUUGAUCUCAUCAAUGUCUGGGAAUCCCAUGGACAGCCUUAAUUAUCCAAUCAAUAGCGUCGAUAUAUUCUCGUCAUCCGAAGCGUUCAUGAUCAUGGUUUGACUCCUCGUAGGACCCAGAAAACGUCUCAACGAACCGAGAGGAGGAUGAACAUUCAAAAUCAAUUAAUCAAAGAAAUAAACACGUAGCUUAAAUCGAACCCUGCAUAAGUAAUAAAACUUUGGGAAUCUGGCACGUGGUCGUGAGAAGUGGGCGUUCAGACAAAAUAAAUUUUAUACUUCCUCAUAACAACCAACAACCACAACAAACACUGUACUUUAGCUCUGUGUUGGCAUGCAAAAUAAGCAUUCCAUUCAAGAUAGCUUAGAAUUUAAAAAUUAUAACAUUUAAGGAGGAUUUAAAUAUGAACGUCUUUUUAAUUAAUAGAAUAUAACAUAGAUAUACUUUUAUAAA
rnacentral:lncRNA from 1 species